rnacentral:rRNA from 1 species
CCUACGGGAGGCAGCAGUGGGGAAUAUUGCGCAAUGGGCGAAAGCCUGACGCAGCGACGCCGCGUGAGGGAUGAAGGUCUUCGGAUCGUAAACCUCUGUCAGCAGGGAAGAACGGUCACUGUGCUAAUCAGUAGUGAAUUGACGGUACCUGCAAAGGAAGCACCGGCUAACUCCGUGCCAGCAGCCGCGGUAAUACGGAGGGUGCGAGCGUUAAUCGGAAUUACUGGGCGUAAAGCGCUCGUAGGCGGUAUGUCAAGUCAAGGGUGAAAUCCCCGCGCUCAACGUGGGAACUGCCUUUGAAACUGGCUGACUGGAGUGUGUGAGAGGAUAGUGGAAUUCCAGGUGUAGGAGUGAAAUCCGUAGAUAUUUGGAGGAACAUCAGUGGCGAAGGCGACUAUCUGGCACAUAACUGACGCUGAGGAGCGAAAGCGUGGGUAGCAAACAGGAUUAGAUACCCGAGUAGUC